UUUAGAAGCUUAUCAGCUCACUGAUUUCCUUCUAUCAUUUAUUCGGUUUUUCCCUACUCAGGAAAGUUAAAGCAAAGCAUUGGUGCGGAAAAGUUAGAGUGUGACCUUAAAAUACCUGUGCUCAACCAGCAUUUCUGCUUGGAGCUCUGCUUUGAUCAGUGAAUGAGUCUUCUAGGGAGCACGUUAGACCCUGCUCAGCCCCAGGAAAACUGCAUGUGCAAAUCCUCAGGGAGCAUCAUGAUGGCAGAACAUGCUUCCAGACUGAAAGGACUGAAAAGGGCAGUACUGUGGGCAGUAGCUGAGGCUGGAAUUUCCAAGUUAGGGAUCAUGACCUUUGGGACUAGAGUCA
rnacentral:lncRNA from 1 species